rnacentral:lncRNA from 1 species
GGUAAAAUAUGGGUGAAACAAUAGGAGUUUAGAAAAUGCUUAAUAAUAAGGGUAAUUCUUAUUAUACAUCUUGUAAUGUUACUCUCCCAAAGUAAAAUCUGGUAAUAGAAAGUAGGAUUUAAUACUUUGAGCAUUUAAUACUUUGAGAAGGCUUAUGGUAUGCUCAUUAAAAAUGAAUCAAUGAAAUAUUUAUUUAAACACUUUUAUUUAAAACAUGUUAUACCCUUGAAUGGCGUGCCCCCUGUUGACAUUUUCAAACAGACAUUCCAAAUCAUUUCCAAGUACAGUCAUCCCUCUGUAUCAGCCCGGAGAUUGGUUCUAGUAUCCCCUUGGAUACCAAAAUUCACACAUACUAUUUUUCCUCUGCUUUUAAGAAUUGAAGUUUGAUUGUAAAACUGUUUUAAUUUGAAUAAAAUGAUACUGAGGUAGACAAGUUCUCUGGUAGGAAUCUUCUUUUAUUCUCUUUCUCCAUUCAAAGCCACUUCUAGUGAGGUUUUCUCUGAUCUCAGGUUAUAUUACCUUGAUAGCAUAUGAUAAAGGGUCCUUAACGUAGUCUGUGAGAUAACUAUUUUUGAAGUAGGCAUAUUUAUUCCUUAGUUUUGUUUUGCAUAUAAAAAAAUUAGAAUCACGUGAUAUAAUUUUAUAAGUUUGUUUUCCCCUGUAACAUAUAUAUUAUGUAUUUUAAAUGUUAUUAACAUUUUAAAAUAAAAUACAUAAUAAGGUAAACUUUUUA